rnacentral:rRNA from 1 species
AUUGAACGCUGGCGGCAUGCCUUACACAUGCAAGUCGAACGGUAACAGGUCUUCGGAUGCUGACGAGUGGCGGACGGGUGAGUAAUACAUCGGAACGUGCCCGAUCGUGGGGGAUAACGAAGCGAAGGCGUUGCUAAUACCGCAUAAGAUCUACGGAUGAAAGCAGGGGACCGCAAGGCCUUGCGCGAACGGAGCGGCCGAUGGCAGAUUAGGUAGUUGGUGGGAUAAAAGCUUACCAAGCCGACGAUCUGUAGCUGGUCUGAGAGGACGACCAGCAAAACUGGAACUGAGACACGGCCAGGACUCCUACGGGAGGCAGCAGUGGGGAACUUAGGACAAGUGGCGAAAGCCUGAUCCAGCCAUGCCGCGUGCAGGAUGAAGGCCUUCGGGUUGUAAACUGCUUUUGUACGGAACGAAAAGACUCUUUCUAAUAAAGAGGGUCCAUGACGGUACCGUAAGAAUAAGCACCGGCUAACUACGUGCCAGCCGCCGCCGUAACAC